rnacentral:rRNA from 1 species
GAGAGGACGAUCAGCCACACUGGGACUGAGACACGGCCCAGACUCCUACGGGAGGCAGCAGUGGGGAAUCUUGCACAAUGGGCGAAAGCCUGAUGCAGCAACGCCGCGUGAGGGACGAAGGCUUUCUGAGUUGUAAACCUCUUUCAGCAGGGACGAUUGUGACGGUACCUGCAGAAGAAGCCCCGGCCAACUACGUGCCAGCAGCCGCGGUAAUACGUAGGGGGCAAGCGUUGUCCGGAUUUAUUGGGCGUAAAGAGCUCGUAGGCGGCUUGGCAAGUCGGAUGUGAAACCUCCAGGCUCAACCUGGAGUCGCCAUUCGAUACUGCCAUGGCUAGAGUUUGGUAGGGGACCACGGAAUUCCUGGUGUAGCGGUGAAAUGCGCAGAUAUCAGGAGGAACACCAGCGGCGAAGGCGGUGGUCUGGGCCAAUACUGACGCUGAGGAGCGAAAGCGUGGGGAGCGAACAGGAUUAGAUACCCUGGUAGUCCACGCCGUAAACGUUGGGCACUAGGUGUGGGGACCUAUCGACGGUUUCUGUGCCGCAGCUAACGC